AGUGAAUGCUGGCGGUAGGCCUAACACAUGCAAGUCGAACGGCAGCACAGUAAGAGCCUGCUCUUACGGGUGGCGAGUGGCGGACGGGUGAGGAAUACAUCGGAAUCUACUUUUUCGUGGGGGAUAACGUAGGGAAACUUACGCUAAUACCGCAUACGACCUACGGGUGAAAGCAGGGGAUCUUCGGACCUUGCGCGAUUGAAUGAGCCGAUGUCGGAUUAGCUAGUUGGCGGGGUAAAGGCCCACCAAGGCGACGAUCCGUAGCUGGUCUGAGAGGAUGAUCAGCCACACUGGAACUGAGACACGGUCCAGACUCCUAUGGGAGGCAGCAGUGGGGAAUAUUGGACAAUGGGCGCAAGCCUGAUCCAGCCAUACCGCGUGGGUGAAGAAGGCCUUCGGGUUGUAAAGCCCUUUUGUUGGGAAAGAAAAGCAGCAGGUUAAUACCCCGCUGUUCUGACGGUACCCAAAGAAUAAGCACCGGCUAACUUCGUG
rnacentral:rRNA from 1 species